rnacentral:rRNA from 1 species
CGAGUGUAGAGGUGAAAUUCGUAGAUAUUCGGUGGAACACCAGUGGCGAAGGCGACUAACUGGACUGAUACUGACGCUGAGGUGCGAAAGUGUGGGGAGCAAACAGGAUUAGAUACCCUGGUAGUCCACACCGUAAACGAUGAAUGCCAGUCGUCGGGUAGUAUACUAUUCGGUGACACACCUAACGGAUUAAGCAUUCCGCCUGGGGAGUACGGUCGCAAGAUUAAAACUCAAAG